AUUAUAAUUGUGUAUUAAGAUAUAACAUUGAACAUUUUUUUGAAAUAAAAUGACUGUGCUAUUAUUUGAUAAAUAAAAAUAGCUACCAAAACCCCCCAACACAUAUUGGUCUCAGUGUUUUUUAGAAAACAAAUAAAAACGGACAUGGGUACCCACUUCUAAAUGAGAAGCCCAUUGCUAGAAGUAAACAAAACAGAAAACGACAAUAAAUUUGAAAUAGACAAACAUAAAGGAAAUAAUAAAAAUAAAUAAAAUGAAGCCCUAUCCCUAUCCCCAGUCACAUUUUAACAGCCUGACCACCAUUUAAUUUUCUUAUCUUUUCACGCCAUCAGCCAUGCCUUUUCAGCAGAUUUAUCUUCCCAAAAAUCUUUUUACUUUACCUGCUAAUUUUGUCUUCUCACUUCCUCCUUCACCACCAGAUUCAAUCUGGAUUUCUUCUCCACCUUCCUUCCAGAGCGAUCUCACUAUGGUUCAUCUCAUCCUCCUUUAGGUACGUUUCCUCCCUUCUUUUUAGUGCUUCUGUUACUAUUCUAUGAGCGUGAGUUCUCAGAUCAGUGAAUGAACUGAAAAGUAACCUUUGGGAGCCCCGAUCUUUUAUUCUGAAUAUCCUUGAUGAUUGUUCCUAGUACUGAUUUAUCCAUUGCUGUCGAUUGAAAUUUUUUUAUGACUGUUUUUGAAUCUCCCAUUGUUGUUACUGAGUUUAGACCCAGUAAUAAUACUAACUUGAUGGCUUCUAAUCCUACCCGAGCUUCUGCUACGAACGGGGAUGAGAUAUUGUUAUGGAGAAUCGUCUUUGAGGCUUUAAACUCACCAAUUUGGUCCCGAACCACCAAACUUGAAGCCGAUCUAAAACAUCUCCUAUCAAAGGCAACAUCAAACUGUACCAUAGUGCUCGUUGUUAUCCUUGGUGGUUGAUGAGUUUUCACUGUAGUAAAGGUAAGCUUUUUAUCACGCACCCUUCAAGUUCUGCAACAUAUCUUCUGAUUUUUUGUGACAUAGCUCUGACUGUAAUGUGUUUUCUUUCAUGUAUAAACUGAUUUCUUGAGCCCCAAAUGAACCAUAAGGCGCAAUAAAAGAAAUCGCACCGUUCAUUAGUGCCUUUUCUGAAAGCCCAGGUCAGCCACUCCCAGAUGUUGUGACUUGUAUGCGAUGUAACCCAAGAGAGAUAUAGCUCUUGUCAUAACUCAUUUGUUGCCGAACACUGUCUGAAAACAUGGAAGCUAUCCUCUGCUCUGGAGCUACAACGGGGACAUGUAUCAUUUGUAACCACACGCUUAUGUCUAAGAUUAACUAGUGUGGGGAUGAAAUUCCAAGAGAUCCUCCAAAUGGUCAAUGUAAUUUUUGAUUGUAGCUGUAAGUCCCAUAGCUUUCUAUAAAAUUCUUUAGUUUCGGCCUGUAAUAAAUAACUGGUAGGAUCCAAGCUAGCAUAUUGUAAUAGUUUAUAGGCACUUCGGACUGAAAAAUCUCCGGAAGGUUCUCCUUUCCACACUGGAAAUCUUCGUAGUCUGCUCUGCAAGAGGAAUCUACAAUAUCUUUUAGGCUACUUCCAUUUGGAAGGUAUUAUUGAUUAACUCUGCUUUCCAUGUCUCAUUUUCACUAUCAAUUAGAUCUAAAACUUACUGUAGCUCAUUAUUUUCUUCGCUGGUUUGCCAACCAACUUUUUCACUCCCUAGGAUCCAGCAAUCAUUCCAUAUAGAAAUAUUAUUCCCUCUUCCAAUUCUCCAGUACAAUCCGUUUCGGAGGAGACCCUUUGCUGCCCAGAUGCUCUUCAAGGUAAAAGAAGGUCCCAACUUGCACUUAGAAAAUUCAAAUUUGGAAAAUAUUUUCUUUAAGAACUCUUGCCAGUAAAGAAUUUGGGUAAUUAAAAAUACGCCAACCCUGUUUGGCUAAUAACGCAAUAUUGAAUUGGCUAAAACUUUGGAAACCCAAACCUCCAUUCUUUUUUAAAAAACAGAUAUUUUUCCAUGAGCACCAGUGAAUACCUUUUUUCCAAUGCCACUUUUUCCACCAAUAUUUGGCAAUAAUCCCUUCCAGUUCAUCACAUAAAGAUUUUGGUAAUAAAAAACAAGCCAUUGAAUAUGUCGGUAUAGCCUGUAAAAUAACUUUUAUAAAAACUUUCUUUCCACCAUGAGACAAAUAUCUCUUGCUCCAAUUAUCGAUGCGCUGUUUUAUUCGAACUUUUAAAACUUGGAAAGAUUAUUUUUUAUUUUUCCAACUAUACUCGGCAAACCUAAGUACCUUUCCGAAUCGCUUGAGCUACGAACUCCUAAUUGAUUAACAACGGCUUGUCUGUCUUCCUCUGAUGUAUUUUUACUGAAAAAGAUGGUUGAUUUGUCAAAAUUAACACACUAACCCGAUCUUUUUUUGUAUUCACGCAAGAUUUCCUUGAUUGUCAAAGCUUCUCUUCUUGUUGCCUCCCCAAAUAAGAUGCAAUCAUCUGCGAAUGAUAAAUGAGAUACCUGUGGACCGCUUCUACUCACCUUGAACAUUUUAUUUUGGUUAUUUUGUACGAUAUGUUUAUUUUAUUAGAAUUAUAAAAUGAUUAGAAUUGUUAAAAUUGUGAUUUAAGAUACAUUGAACAUUAUAUUUUUGUUAUUUUGGAGUGUAUGUUUAUUGAGAUAGUUUUGGUAGUGCAUGUUUAUUUUAUUAGAAUUAUUAGAAUUGUGAUUUAAGAUCGUUUUGAUAAUGUAUGUUUAUUUUAUUUUGUAAUAAAAAUUACAAAAAU
rnacentral:lncRNA from 1 species